rnacentral:lncRNA from 1 species
AGUCGGAGCCAGUAGUAUUUUUCUGUUAGGCCACUUUCCAUUCUAAUAGAACACUAAGUGACCGACCCUUCCACCGGAAGCCGGAUGGUGGAGAAGGAGUCGGGCCGGACUCGGCCAUAAAUAUUUUCCAGGGACUGCAACCCGGUCCUGAAAAAUGGGAAACCCAAGCGUUUGCAGGCGAACUCGACUUAUUUAUUUGGCGGGAAAUAUUUUUAAGUAAAUAAAUGGAAAUCGAUGUGGCCCCGGCUCUAGGCGGAUGGACUGUUUGGGGUCCGGCUGCCCGACAACCGCAUUUUUUCCGACCGACCUAUCUUCGGUGGCCGUGAUCCGGCAUAUAUUUUUCGGACGGUACCCAUCGGUUGGCAGGAUCCGCUUCCAAAUUUACGGGAAGGAUUCCCGGCCGGUGGCUUUUUUCUUAACAAUUCGAGAAAGUGCCGAGUCCCAUAAAGUUGGUUAUGCGAAAGCGACUCUCGAUAAUGCUGCUGAAUUUUCCCUAAGAGUCACUUAAUGCAAUUUUAAUUUAUGUAUGGCACGCUUGCCAUUCUCUCUGUCUUAUCUGACAAUCAAAAGUACAGGUGAGUCAUUUUUUAAAAGCGGUGACUUAGCCACUUUUUAGUCAUAAAUUUAGCGACAGCCUAAAUUCAAAUGGAAUUAAUAAAAUUUAUUUAAGAAAUGCAGCCGACAAGUUACGAGGCUUAUUACAAAUAUUAUUUUAUUUUUCUUUGUGAAUAAAAAA